GGUCUCCUCGGUGCAUUAGCUUGUAUGCGUGUAGGUAGCCAGCGCUGCUAACACUCCUCAGGUCCUUUGAAUACGGGAUUCAGGUGGUCACCACGCAGCUCAUCAGUUGUUCCUCUUCCAGUGGGUAGGUCGAUAAAUAGUUACCUGGGAAAACCCAUGGAAGCUAAACUGGAACCCCGGAUGUCACGGUGGUCCAUGUAUCUGAAGUUAGUAAUAUCAUCCACCACAGGCUCAAAGACCAACGGGAGGAAAUGAAUGCCGAUGCACAGCUCGCGUUUCUAUCAGUGAAAGAGGAUCCUGGACUGCAGUUACUGGAUUUUACAUGGGAAAAUUAAGUUUGCUACAUGAAUAACAAGCACUGUUUGUAUUUACUUUCUGAUCCAUUUCUGGGAUAUCUAUAUUUGAUAACAACCUGGAUUAUCAGUUCAUGGUUAGGAAGAAAGUUCAUUAUAAUAUACUUAACAGUAAAUUUUCCUAUAUUGUGGUACACAAAAUUUCUAAAGGAAAUAUGGAAACUGAAAUUUCAUUAGGAAUAAGGAUUUCUUUAAAAAUUAAAAUUUCAGUACCAGUGGUGCAUUUAAAAUUUAGGAAAAUAAUCAUUACAAGUACAGUUUCACAGACCUGAUAUCAUAUGCAUGUCCAUUAUAAAAUCUAUUAAUAAAUUAUCAAAGGUCUUCAGUCACAUAUAUGUUUAUUUUCUUAUUCUUCCAAGUGUUUCAUGGAUAGUUAUUAUGUAAAAUGGUUACUGUAAUUUUCAAUAUAUAUAUAUGUCACAAAAAAUAGUUUGAACACCUGGGUUAAAUUUAUGCACCCAAGAUAAAUUAUAUAUUUAUCUUAAACUUUUAUGCAAAAAUUAAAAUAUCUUUCAAUGCAACAAAAACAUAGUACAUUAUUCAGCAUUACUAAACAUAGGCUAAACAAUCCACACAUUGAAAGAACGUACUAGGAACAAACACUAUUUACGUUGGGUGCUUUGAGCUAUGGGGCACGUCUAAACCAUGCACAGCAGAUAUUACUAGGAGUAAUUCUUUUAAUACUUUCUAGUGUCAUCAAGGUCUGAACCAUACAGAGCAGAUAUCACUUGGAGAGAGAAAAAAAAAAAAAAAAAAAAUCCAGUGCCAAACAAGUGUUUUCUGAAUUGCAUUUUCAUAUCAACUUACUGCUGAGCAUACUUUGAAACACUGCCCCCAAAAUCUCUAAGCAAAAUAGCCUCGUGUCAUUUACUUAAAUGUGGAAGAAUGGCUUCAGCAGAAA